rnacentral:lncRNA from 1 species
AUGAAUUUGACUUCCCGGCUUGUGAUUCCGCAGACGCUGCUCUGGAACCGGGCGGAUAUGGUGCCCGGGCUGCAGGCGCGGCUGGCGCUGAGGCAGAACGUAGGUCGUUUUUGCAGAAGGCACUGGAACUGCAGGGACACACAGGCCAGCUCACGGCCAGCUGUGAGACAGUCAUCCUGCGAAUCGCCAGCCAGCAAACCCACCGUCUCUCCCCAUCAGUGCUGUGGCCCAGAGGACUGCACACAUGCUGACGUUGCACGCCUGCAGAUUCCAGCCUUCCCUGUGUCCCUGUGUGAAAGUGGGAAGCAGCAGACCCAGCAGCAGGACCAAAGACAUCAAAAGGAGCAGACCUUCUGCACAGCAGUGGCAGGUUGUUUUGCUGGUGAAGAAAGCCUAGAGGAAGAUGCCCAGAAAAUCCACCCAGUCCCCCAGGAUUUACAGCACCUACAGUACGUGAUCCAUCAGAUUGCUGGGCUUCACAGGAGAGGUGACAUCUUUUUAUCUGCACCUGCAUGUGCUCACAGUGCCCCACGCCUCGUGCGGAUCGCUGCCCUAUGCUGACUCGAAGGCAGGCAAAAAACAUCUGAAACAAGCUGCGUUUGCACGGUAGCUGAACUACAGAAAAGGAGAAAAGUCUUAUCACUGGCAGACAAAUAACUUCUCUGACUCACCUAAUAAUCUUGCGCAAUAAAUCAAACACAAA